rnacentral:rRNA from 1 species
GCAAGUCGAACGGUGAACACGGAGCUUGCUCUGUGGGAUCAGUGGCGAACGGGUGAGUAACACGUGAGCAACCUGCCCCUGACUCUGGGAUAAGCGCUGGAAACGGCGUCUAAUACUGGAUACGAACCAUGAAGGCAUCUUCAGUGGUUGGAAAGAUUUAUUGGUUGGGGAUGGGCUCGCGGCCUAUCAGCUUGUUGGUGAGGUAAUGGCUCACCAAGGCGUCGACGGGUAGCCGGCCUGAGAGGGUGACCGGCCACACUGGGACUGAGACACGGCCCAGACUCCUACGGGAGGCAGCAGUGGGGAAUAUUGCACAAUGGGCGCAAGCCUGAUGCAGCAACGCCGCGUGAGGGAUGACGGCCUUCGGGUUGUAAACCUCUUUUAGCAGGGAAGAAGCGAAAGUGACGGUACCUGCAGAAAAAGCGCCGGCUAACUACGUGCCAGCAGCCGCGGUAAUACGUAGGGCGCAAGCGUUAUCCGGAAUUAUUGGGCGUAAAGAGCUCGUAGGCGGUUUGUCGCGUCUGCUGUGAAAUCCGGAGGCUCAACCUCCGGCCUGCAGUGGGUACGGGCAGACUAGAGUGCGGUAGGGGAGAUUGGAAUUCCUGGUGUAGCGGUGGAAUGCGCAGAUAUCAGGAGGAACACCGAUGGCGAAGGCAGAUCUCUGGGCCGUAACUGACGCUGAGGAGCGAAAGGGUGGGGAGCAAACAGGCUUAGAUACCCUGGUAGUCCACCCCGUAAACGUUGGGAACUAGUUGUGGGGUCCAUUCCACGGAUUCCGUGACGCAGCUAACGCAUUAAGUUCCCCGCCUGGGGAGUACGGC